GGCUUCGUAGCUCAGUUGGUAGAGCGCUUGCCGUGUUGAGGCAUGGGGUUUCUGUCGCUAGUUCGAAUCCAGCCGAAGCCU
rnacentral:tRNA from 1 species